rnacentral:rRNA from 1 species
UACGUAGGUGGCAAGCGUUAUCUGGAAUUAUUGGGCGUAAAGAGCGCGCAGGUGGUUGAUUAAGUCUGGUGUGAAAGCCCACGGCUUAACCGUGGAGGGUCAUUGGAAACUGGUCGACUUGAGUCCAGAAGAGGGAAGUGGAAUUCCAUGUGUAGCGGUGAAAUGCGUAGAGAUAUGGAGGAACACCAGUGGCGAAGGCGGCUUCCUGGUCUGUAACUGACACUGAGGCGCGAAAGCGUGGGGAGCAAACAGGAUUAGAUACCCUCGUA